rnacentral:rRNA from 1 species
UGCGUAGGCGGUGAGGUAAGUCGGAUGUGAAAGCUCCGAGCUCAACUCGGAAAUGGCAUUGGAAACUACCUUGCUAGAGGGUUUGAGGGGGGACUGGAAUACUUGGUGUAGCAGUGAAAUGCGUAGAUAUCAAGUAGAACACCAGUGGCGAAGGCGAGUCCCUGGAAAACUCCUGACACUGAGGCACGAAAGCUAGGGAGCAAACA